GACUGCUCCGGUAGCCGAGUGGUUAGAGCGUCCGCCUUGGAUGCGCGAGGUUAUGGAUUCAAUCUCCGGCCGAGUCA